rnacentral:rRNA from 1 species
UAGGUGGCAAGCGUUGUCCGGAUUUACUGGGUGUAAAGGGCGUGUAGGCGGGAGUUCAAGUCAGAUGUGAAAUACCGGGGCUCAACCCCGGGGCUGCAUUUGAAACUGAAUUUCUUGAGUGCUGGAGAGGAAAGCGGAAUUCCUAGUGUAGCGGUGAAAUGCGUAGAUAUUAGGAGGAACACCAGUGGCGAAGGCGGCUUUCUGGACAGUAACUGACGCUGAGGCGCGAAAGCGUGGGGAGCAAA